rnacentral:rRNA from 1 species
AUACGUAGGGGGCGAGCGUUGUCCGGAAUGAUUGGGCGUAAAGGGCGCGUAGGCGGCCUGUUAAGUCUGGAGUGAAAGUCCUGUUUUCAAGAUGGGAAUUGCUUUGGAUACUGAUGGGCUUGGGUGCAGGAGAGGUUAUCGGAAUUCCCGGUGUAGCGGUGAAAUGCGUAGAGAUCGGGAGGAACACCAGUGGCGAAGGCGGGUAACUGGACUGCAACUGACGCUGAGGCGCGAAAGUGUGGGGAGCAAACAGGAUUAGAUACCCUGGUAGUCCACACUGUAAACGAUGAAUGCUAGGUGUAAGAGGUAUCGACCCCUUUUGUGCCGGAGUUAACACAAUAAGCAUUCCGCCUGGGGAGUACGGCCGCAAGGUUGAAACUCAAAUGAAUUGACGGGG